UUCUCUCUCUAGUUUGUUCUUGAGAGAGCUUUUUCUUUCAACUGCAGAGAAGUUUUUUGAAUAAUGUCUCUUUCUUUGCCACUUCCGUUACCUCCCUUGCUUCGUUCAGGCAGGGGGUUCGCUCUCUGGCUGGAGAGUAGGUCUUCCUCUACUCCUCUGGGUAGUGUGUAAAUAUUUAGUUUCCUUUGUUUUCUUCCCGUAUAUUCAACUGUCCUUUGAGAGGAUUUCUUAUUGAUCUAUUUUUGUGUGUGUUUCUUUUCUCUUGACAGAUCUAGUUCUCAAGUGUCACUAUUUUAAGAUCAGUUGAGUGUUUUAUUGUAACUUGGCCUGUGUUGCUCCCUUAAUUACAUGUAGAUGGAGGAGUCUCAGAUCUGAUAUUUACAAGGUUGUUUAUUCGGUGGAUGAAAGCAAAGGGGUUGCUCAUAGAGUUUGACCCGAGAGGCACGAUUGGGUUGCAGAGAAUGUUCUUCCUCCUCCUACAUCGAUGCUUUUGAUCUGUGAAGUCUCCUUUGACUCGAUCCAUGGCUCUAUUUCUUCUUUGCUUAUUUUGAGAAGACUUUCGGUGGUUGCAUAUCGAUCUAUUUGUAGUAGCGAUCGUUGGCCUGGUUUAUGGUUUAGCCCCUCUCCCCGAGCUUCAAUGAGUGUUUUUACUAUAAUUCUUGACUGUAAUAGUGGAAUUUCCUUCUUUUGCCGCUGCAGGCAUGUUCAAAUCCAAGUCUCUGUCACUUUUGCAGGGAGGAUCGUUUUCCUCCAUCGC
rnacentral:lncRNA from 1 species